AAUUAAACAAUGACUUAAAUUGUUCCACAGGGAUGUAUUUCUGCUGUACAAUAUUCUCAACAAUCAGAACGGCUGAUUUUCACAUUUCAACAUGUUUUCCGUAUGGAUCCAUUUACUUCUGAGCAGAAGAAUUUGUUCGCAAACAAAAAGGAAUCAUCGUUAAUACGGAUUGGGAGAUAUACUUCUACUUCUACCUUCUACUAAAAGCAAAUGGUUUUACUCUUAGCUUCUCCUUUUGAGCGAAUUCUUUUUUUUAUAAUAUAGCUCGAUAUUACGAAAUUCUAUGAAUCAAAAUUAACCGUCGCAUUCGCCAUUUUGUAAAUAAUCCUGGUUCUCCUCGGGAAAGAAACUGAUUUCCUUUCCAUAGAAUAUCAAACAUUGUUUUAUAAAAAAAAAUUGAGAAUUAGUUGGUGACAUUCAAAAAAAUAUGAUUUGAAAUUGAAAUUUUGGCAGUCAGUCAACGGUAAUUAAAUAUGUAUCAUUUCCCUACAAUUUUAGUGUUCUCGAAAUGUAAUCACGAGAGGGUGAAAAAAUAAAUCCCUACAAUAUUUCAUAUCACAACUAAUUGAUAACAAAACAUUUUUAUCAUUAAAAAUUCAAUUUAAAGAAAACUUCUCGAAGUUCAUUAGGAGGAAAAAUGAUCAAAACUUCAAAAUAUGAUUGAAAAAUAUUCAACGGCAAAAUAAUAAUAGAACCUUUUCGACAUCUUACCGGUAAACUUUCAUUGGAAUGCAACAUAAACAAAAUGGGUAAUGAAUAACGAAAUCAAGUGAAUAACUUGUUAGAAAUGAAGAACCCUCAUUAAUUUUUUUCCUAAGAACCAUCUCUUAAGCUUUGUCAAUUCACAAUUGAAAGAAAGAUUUAUAACCUGA